rnacentral:misc_RNA from 1 species
UUUCCGUAGGUGAACCUGCGGAAGGAUCAUUCAUAAUAAAGUGUUUUAUGGCACUUUUUAAAAAUCCAUAUCCACCUUGUGUGCAAUGUUAGAUCUCGUCAAUCUUGGCGAGAUUUUUAUACAUCAACUCAUUCUUUAACUAAUUUGUCUGAAAAAUAUUUUGAAUACUUAAUUCAAAAUACAACUUUCAACAACGGAUCUCUUGGCUCUC